ACCUGGCUGGCUCAGUCAGUAGAGCAUGAGAUGUUUGAUCUCAGGAUUGUGGGUUUGAACCCCACAUUGGGCA
rnacentral:tRNA from 1 species